GCGGGUAUAGCUCAGUUGGUAGAGUCCCGGCCUUCCAAGCCGGUUGCACGAGUUCGAGCCUCGUUGCCCGCUCCA
rnacentral:tRNA from 1 species